rnacentral:rRNA from 1 species
AUACGGAGGAUCCGAGCGUUAUCCGGAUUUAUUGGGUUUAAAGGGUGCGCAGGCGGCCAUUUAAGUCAGCGGUUAAAUCGUGGGGCUCAACCCCAUUCUGCCGUUGAUACUGGGUGGCUUGAUUGCGGUCGAGGUUGGCGGAAUUCGUUGUGUAGCGGUGAAAUGCAUAGAUAUGACGAAGAACACCGAUUGCGUAGGCAGCUGACCAGACCGCAAAUGACGCUCAUGCACGAAAGUGCGGGGAUUGAACAGGAUUAGAUACCCUGGUAGUCCGCACAGUAAACGAUGAAUACUUGUUUUCGGCGAUAUAAUGUCGGAGGCAAAGCGAAAGCGAUAAGUAUUCCACCUGGGGAGUACGCUGGCAACGGUGAAACUCAAAGGAAUUGACGGGG